GCAUUCUGGGAAUGCCGGAGGCUGAGGUGCUCUGGUCUGACGAUACCUGUGUGUGUGGUUGCUCGGCCAUUCUGUCUGUGAUUAAGAGUUUGUCGUGAACCGUUAAUCAGUAUGUGUGACGCACACAAGGGUACGUGAACAUUCAGAACACUCCGCGGCGAGCCAUCUAAGGCGGGAAACGUAGGGAGCUGGACGAAUGAAGGGUUUGUGGCCUCAUUCCCGAUCCAGGAUUUUGGGCUUCCCUGGUGGCUUAGGCGAUAAAGAAUCUACCUUCAAUGCAGGAGACUCGGGUUGGAUUCCUGGGUGAGGAAUAUCCUCUGGAGGAGGGCAUGGCUACCCGCUCCAGUAUUCCGGAGAAUUGCCUGGAGAGAAUUCCGUGGACAGAGGAGCCUGGCAGGCUACAGUUCUUGCGGUCGGAGGCGACUGAGCGACCAACAUUCUUUCACUUUACCGGGCCGGUCGGACCACGUCCCCAGUCGUUUACCCACAUUCUCCAGGCUGGGAAGGAGUCCGGGAUUUUGAGAGGUGGAGGGUUCGGGAAACGUAGCCUUUAUGAUCUCGGUUGGAGGGACUCUUCUUUCGGUUGUCUGCUUCUCGCCAAGAUAUUUGCUGAAGUUUGAAUAAAUUUACCUCUCCAAACCUACCCAUUGGGAAAGAGAUGAUGCUACUUCAGUGAUGCCUCAUGAAGCCAGGUUAAGAAAUCUCAUUGCAAUCAAGAUUUUUGUUAAUGGCUGCUGAAUUGGAAUACAUAAAUAUCUUGAACAGCAUAUGAAUACUCUGUGGAAAUUGUGGUGUCAGAUGGACAUCAUUGUGUCCCAAUUCCUAAGUCAUGAUCAACUCUUUUGCAACCCAUGGACUGCACCCCAGGAGGCUCCUCUGUCCAUGGGAUUCUUCAGGCAAGAGUACUGGAGUGGGUUGCUAUUUCUUCCUCUGGGGAUAUCCACUUAAAAUGCCAUGAGACACUAAUCAUUUCCAGCGUGGACCUUUCUAUGUUCCUGGUGCUGGAACUGAAGCACACAGUGGAGGACGGAUUCUUACUUUAUGGAAACAUUCAUAGAAAAAUAAAAAAGCAAAAAAGUCAGAAAUUAGGGUGUAUUUCCAUCAAGUUACACCCAGUGUGCCUGCCUCUCUUGCCUCCCCUCCCAUGCCUGGGACAGCAAAGCCAAUCCCUCCUCCUCCGCCUCCUCAGCCGAGUCAAUAUGAAUCAAAGACACCUAGGAUGAAGACCUUUGUGAGGAUCCACUUCCACUUAAUGAAUAGUAGAUAAUCAUCAUGUCCUGCAGUUAACCAACCUAUCUGUUAUGUAUGUGUGUGGGUUCUUGUAUUAAAGUCUAGUAACUGCUACAAGAACUGUAUGAGAUGCUGUGUCAUCAUCAUCACCACCUAAGGAGUCACCAUGUAGAACGUCAUGUGCAAGACUUGUGUUGAAGUGGAAAGCCUACCUUAUAUAGAAAUAAGAUAAGUGGCAUUUAAUAUUAAUAAUGUGUUAGUUUUCCUACUGCUUUAUAAAUUUGCUUUCAAAGAAUUACAUUAUCAUACAGUAUGCAUUUCUCUCCCUUCCAAUUGGAGAACCUGUGUAUCAGCCUGUUGUCAUAGGUAGGUGGAUUUUUUUUAAUGUAACAGUGUUUCCAACACUGUAUUAUGAAUAUGACUGUAAUACUGUAUACCAUAAAAGUUCUAUAAGGAUUCAUUCACUGUGUCUAAGCUAGGCCACUGUGAAACAAUUAUAUCAAUUACACUAAGCUUAACCAUAAAGUAAUCAUAUUGCUGCUGCUUCAUUAUCGGUGCAUGAGUCUUUAGAUCUGUGAAUAUAUAAUAUAUAAAUGUGAAUUUGUUUUUCAUGUUAUCUUUUCAUUUGUUAUGUCUAGAAUUAGUAAUUCAUAUUGUAUCUACAAUGUUUUAUCUCGUAUAUAUAGUAUGGAUAUAGGUGCUGAUAGAUAAUCUUGUAAACAGAUGAUAUUAACUUGUGGUAUCAGUAUCAAUAGUCUCUAGUUUAUUAAAAGAGUACAAUCAGUCAGUUUAGUCGCUCAGUUAUGUCCUACCCUGCGACCCCAUGGACUGCAGCAUGCCAGGCUUCCCUGUCCAUCACCAACUUCCAGAGUUUGCUCAAACUCAUGUC